rnacentral:rRNA from 1 species
AGCAGCCGCGGUAAUUCCAGCUCCAAUAGCGUAUAUUAAAGUUGUUGCAGUUAAAAAGCUCGUAGUUGAAUUUCGAGACCGGUUUAUUGGUCGUGCUUUUGUACGUACUGGUAUUAUUGGUUUCUCCUUUCUGACGAAUCUUAAUGCCAUUAAUUUGGUGUUUUGGGGAAUCAGGACUGUUACUUUGAAAAAAUUAGAGUGUUUAAAGCAGGCUCACGCUUGAAUACAUUAGCAUGGAAUAACGGAAUAGGACGUUUGAUUCUAUUUUGUUGGUUUCUAGGAUCGACGUAAUGAUUAAUAGGGAUAGUUGGGGGCAUUAGUAUUCAAUUGUCAGAGGUGAAAUUCUUGGAUUUAUUGAAGACUAACUACUGCGAAAGCAUUUGCCAAG